rnacentral:lncRNA from 1 species
CUCCCGUUACGAGUCAUGUUUCUCUAGGACUUAAAAUUAUGGAAAUUCUUCAGGCAGAAAAUAGGCACAAAUAGUUAUUAUGGAAAAGCCUUUGAGGACCAGCUCUCUGGUAUUAUUAUGUGGCUCCCUUCAAGAAGUAAUCUACACACGGUUUAUUGAAGCUGUGAAUUUAAUCAUUUCAAUCCCAUGCUAUAGCAGGGUGACUAGGAGAAGAGGUAUUGAUACUCCUCUGGGAUACUUUGCUUAUCUAAUCUUGUUUGCUGGAAUGCCAAAGGUGUUGUUUGUACAGCACUUAAAGAAAGAAAAAAAAAAUCCAGUCCCUUCUUUUAGGACAAUGAUAAAUUUA